rnacentral:rRNA from 1 species
AGUAGAGCGGCGGACGGGUGAGUAACGCGUAAGAAUCUACCUAGUAGUGGGGGACAACUCGAGGAAACUCGAGCUAAUACCGCAUACGCCCUACGGGGGAAAGCGGGGGACCUUCGGGCCUCGCGCUAUUAGAUGAGCUUGCGUUGGAUUAGCUUGUUGGUGAGGUAAUGGCUCACCAAGGCUACGAUCCAUAGCUGGUCUGAGAGGAUGAUCAGCCACACCGGGACUGAGACACGGCCCGGACUCCUACGGGAGGCAGCAGUGGGGAAUAUUGCGCAAUGGGCGAAAGCCUGACGCAGCCAUGCCGCGUGUGUGAAGAAGGCCUUAGGGUUGUAAAGCACUUUCAAUUGGGAGGAAAAGUUAACGACUAAUACUCGUUAGCCUUGACGUUACCUUUAGAAGAAGCACCGGCUAACUCCGUGCCAGCAGCCGCGGUAAUACGGAGGGUGCAAGCGUUAAUCGGAAUUACUGGGCGUAAAGCGCACGCAGGCGGUUUGUUAAGCUAGAUGUGAAAGCCCCGGGCUCAACCUGGGAUAGUCACUUAGAACUGGCAGACUAGAGUCUUGGAGAGGGGAGUGGAAUUCCAGGUGUAGCGGUGAAAUGCGUAGAUAUCUGGAGGAACAUCAGUGGCGAAGGCGACUCCCUGGCCAAAGACUGACGCUCAUGUGCGAAAGUGUGGGUAGCGAACAGGAUUAGAUACCCUGGUAGUCCACACCGUAAACGCUGUCUACUAGCUGUUUGUGACUUUAAGUCGUGAGUAGCGAAGCUAACGCGCUAAGUAG